rnacentral:tRNA from 1 species
GCUCUUGUGGCGCAAUUGGCUAGCGCGUUCGACUGUUAAUCGAGAGGUUGGUGGUUCGAGCCCACCCAGGAGCG